UCAUUAGCUGCGGCAGCUUACACAUGCAAGUCGAACGGUAGCAGGAGAAAGCUUGCUUUCUUGCUGACGAGUGGCGGACGGGUGAGUAAUGCUUGGGAAUCUGGCUUAUGGAGGGGGAUAACUACUGGAAACGGUAGCUAAUACCGCGUAACAUCUUCGGAUUAAAGGGUGGGAUCUUCGGACCACUUGCCAUAAGAUGAGCCCAAGUGGGAUUAGGUAGUUGGUGGGGUAAAGGCCUACCAAGCCGACGAUCUCUAGCUGGUCUGAGAGGAUGGCCAGCCACACUGGAACUGAGACACGGUCCAGACUCCUACGGGAGGCAGCAGUGGGGAAUAUUGCACAAUGGGGGGAACCCUGAUGCAGCCAUGCCGCGUGAAUGAAGAAGGCCUUCGGGUUGUAAAGUUCUUUCGGUGAUGAGGAAGGCAGAUAAGUUAAUAGCUUGUUUGAUUGACGUUAGUCACAGAAGAAGCACCGGCUAACUCCGUGCCAGCAGCCGCGGUAAU
rnacentral:rRNA from 1 species